rnacentral:lncRNA from 1 species
CUGGCUGCUGAAACCUGAGGGUGGCUCCCCUGAGGGUCUGGUCUAGACGGGAAAAGUGCAAAGGACAGCAGAAAGCUAGCAGGAGUCCACCUUCCAGAGUGAGAGGUGCAGCCAGCUGACCCUCCUGUCUCCCGGCAUUUCUCCAUCCCACUCUUCUGGUUCCUCUGAGUGACUCUUUCCUUUCCCAAGUGGCCUGUCAAUCAAGAUGACCUUGUACCCAUUCCAUCACCCACUCUAGGAAAACACGUGAGCUAGAGUAAUAUAGCCAACAAUUACUCCAGGCCACUGUGGUGCCUUCAGGGAAGGCACACAACUCAAGCAAGAACCAACAGCAUCUUACUGGAGCCACUAGUAGAGGUUGGGAGAGAGAAUGUCUCUCUUCCUGGAGAUUACAAAAUAGGAAAUAUUUAUAAACAAAGUUCUGGGGGUCAUCUUGCCCCCAGUAAUCAGCAGAGAGGGUAAUCAACAGAGCCAAGAGAUGAGGAGGGGCCAGGUCCAUGAUAACACAAUCUGAGUCCCUGGAUCCGGUCAUACAGGGAGAAAGAACCACGCCUAAACUUCCCCAAUACUGAAUCAUUAAGUCCCCUUUCCUCUGGACUAGUUUCUCUCUGCCUGAGGGUCUUGGCUGACACACAGCUAAACCCUGCCCUGCGGUCACGCACGGCCGACGGUUUUUAUUCAGAUGAAUUCAGCCAACAGUAACAGACAUCCGCUUUCUGACUGGCACUGGGGACAUGCUGUUUGCCUUGGAGGAACUCACAGUUUCAUGGAGGAGACAGACAUGUCAGCAAAUAGGUAGCUGCUGCGGGGAGUAAAACUAAGGCCACUGAAAGGAAAAAAAGAG